UCAACAACAAUGAAGUCGCACAGUCGGCCCACCCCAGAACACAACUUUCAAGGCAACCGCCCCAUCCCUGUCUACAUCUCCGCAACCAGAAGACUCGCGCAGAGGGAAUCCUCUGCUCUCAAAAGUUACGGAGUCCGUUACACUCGCGCCCCGCUGGAAAGCAGGGUGAGUCCCCAGAGUAGAACCGCCGAGUUGGACAGACGGGCGGGAAUUCAGACCUGGUGGUGUGGACGAGGGUCACCUUUGGACCUGGCCAGGCUCGUCUGACCACUGCUCCAAGAAGGCAGCGCUCGUCCAAGCCCAGAGGAGCUAAGAGAAAGAAUCCUAUUAUGAAAUGGAAAUGAAAACUACUUUGAGAUUCCAUCUCACCCCAGUCAAAAUGGUUACCAUCAAGAAGACAAAUGACAAGAGAUGCUGACACACCAAGAAGACACCAUCUGGAUACAGAGUGCAGCCUGACUUCAUCAAAUACAGAAUCAGGUGGUGCCUUGUUCUCUCCCUAUCCUUUGGGCACCUUGAAAAAUAUAUCUUUCUCCCCAUCACUCCCUCU